UGCGGAGUAGCUCAGUCAGCAGAGCAUCGGGCUCAUAACCCGACCGUCGAGGAUGCGAGCGCCUCCUCCGCAACCA
rnacentral:tRNA from 1 species